GACGAACGCUGGCGGCGUGCUUGACACAUGCAAGUCGAACGGAAAGGCCCUGCUUUUGUGGGGUGCUCGAGUGGCGAACGGGUGAGUAACACGUGAGUAACCUGCCCUUGACUUUGGGAUAACUUCAGGAAACUGGGGCUAAUACCGGAUAGGAGCUCCUGCUGCAUGGUGGGGGUUGGAAAGUUUCGGCGGUUGGGGAUGGACUCGCGGCUUAUCAGCUUGUUGGUGGGGUAGUGGCUUACCAAGGCUUUGACGGGUAGCCGGCCUGAGAGAGUGACCGGCCACAUUGGGACUGAGAUACGGCCCAGACUCCUACGGGAGGCAGCAGUGGGGAAUAUUGCACAAUGGGCGGAAGCCUGAUGCAGCAACGCCGCGUGCGGGAUGACGGCCUUCGGGUUGUAAACCGCUUUCGCCUGUGACGAAGCGUGAGUGACGGUAAUGGGUAAAGAAGCACCGGCUAACUACGUG
rnacentral:rRNA from 1 species